UCCGGGUGGGUUAAUUGACCAUUUUACCCUCUACUUGCUCGCGGAAUUUCCAAUUAGGGAAAGCCACGCGCUCUCUGACAAAGCACGCGCCUAGUACAUUUGCUUUCCAACCUGGCUACGCAUGAGGGACACGUGGACGAAGAGACAUGGCGAGUGUUGGAGUUUAACGGUACUCGCAGCAGUGUUGGAGGUUUUGUAGGGUUG
rnacentral:lncRNA from 1 species